rnacentral:rRNA from 1 species
GAUGAACGCUAGCGGCAGGCUUAACACAUGCAAGUCGAGGGGUAACAGGGAGCUUGCUCUGCUGACGACCGGCAAACGGGUGCGGAACACGUACGCAACCUUCCUUGAAGCGGGGAAUAGCCUCUCGAAAGAGAGAUUAAUACCCCAUAGUAUCUUUGUCUCACAUGAGAUGAAGAUUAAAGCUCCGGCACUUCGAGAUGGGCGUGCGGCUGAUUAGGUAGUUGGUAGGGUAACGGCCUACCAAGCCGACGAUCAGUAGCUGAUGUGAGAGCAUGAUCAGCCACACGGGCACUGAGACACGGGCCCGACUCCUACGGGAGCAGCAGUGAGGAAUAUUGGUCAAUGGAGGAAACUCUGAACCAGCCAUGCCGCGUGAAGGAUGAAGGUCCUCUGGAUUGUAAACUUCUUUUAUAGAAGAAGAAACCCCAGUAUUCUUACUGGGUUGACGGUACUCUAUGAAUAAGCACCGGCUAACUCCGUGCCAG